rnacentral:rRNA from 1 species
AUUGAACGCUGGCGGCAGGCCUAACACAUGCAAGUCGAACGCGUGGCAGACGGGUAAGUAAUGUCUGGGAAACUGCCUGAUGGAUGGGGGUAACUGCUGGAAACGGUAGAUAAUACCGCAUAACCUCGGUGGUGCCCAGAUGGGAUUAGCUAGUAGGUGGGGUAAAGGCUCACCUAGGCGACGAUCCCUAGCUGGUCUGAGAGGAUGACCAGCCACACUGGAACUGAGACACGGUCCAGACUCCUACGGGAGGCAGCAGUGGGGAAUAUUGCACAAUGGGCGCAAGCCUGAUGCAGCCAUGCCGCGUGUAUGAAGAAGGCCUUCGGGUUGUAAAGUACUUUCAGCGGGGAGGCGUUACCCGCAGAAGAAGCACCGGCUAACUCCGUGCCAGCCGCCGCGGUAAUUC